rnacentral:lncRNA from 1 species
AGAAUAAUAGCCACCCCAUAAUUUCAAGAACAUGUAAUGAAAUCUCAAAUCCUAAAUAGCUCUCCUUUUUCCUCUGAGAGUAAGCCACUUCCUGCCCCUAGACCCACAUCCUGUCAGACCAAGGCUGCUUAACAAACACAAAAAGCGGACAAACCAGUCCCAUCUGUGCUCAUUAUUAUCAGCAAGAAAAUCAUGACCUUAGAACUAGAAGGGAACUUUCUGGGCAUUCACAUUCAAAAGAGGGUCAUUUUAAAACCAGGUUGGGAAGAGUUCUGUGCUAAGCCCUCCCUACUGUCCACUGCAUCUGGGAGGCAGAAAGGAGCUGCUUUCCAUAGGUCUGACAAUGAAAUGACUGCUAGUCAUGCCCGAGUUCCAAGCCUGCACUGCCGAGUAACACUGAUGGCCAUUUCCGACCUGCUGAUGGCGUAUGAAAAUAAUGCUCCUGAUACCUAUUAGCUGCUAGUUUUUAAGGCCCUUUUUGGUGAGUGUCUCUAAUUAAGAACCAACUUCUUCUACACUGGAAAUAACAUACAUUGUGUGUUAUCUAACAGGGAAGUAAACUGGAAUUCUUAGACACCACUUUCCCCUAAGAAAGGGAAAAGAAAUAAUCAAAGGAUGUUACAUUCAGCAAAAGAAACUAUUCUUUCUAGAAACACAAUCUACAUCCUUCUCAUCUCCUUACCUCAGGGCAGGCAAAAUAAAGAGAAAGGGACCUUGAACAAGAAUUUAUCUAAUAAACUCCUGAAGUCUAAGUCUUGAUUGUAUACCAUGUGAUUUCAGUUUCACUAGGUAUAUCAUAAAUACUUCAUCACCAACAUGCUUCACUGAAAUGUGCAGGUAAUUAUACACAGAAACUUAAGUUUAGUAACUACUUAGUAAACUUAGUAACUACACACAUAAACAAAAGUAAGGGACAAGGCCAAGAUGGCUUAUUAUAUGCUAGAGUCGGUUUUAAUUGUAGGCUCAGAAAAGAUAGGGAACUAAAGGCCUAUAGAUUAAACAUCACUAUUCACCUGGAAUGCAUGGUUGUCUCUGCAAAUUUAGAAGCCUGUGAAGAGUUUUUCCUUUCUUUUUUUCUUAUUUUUUUUUAUUAUACUUUAAGUUUUAGGGUACAUGUGCACAUUGUGCAGGUUAGUUACAUAUGUAUACAUGUGCCAUGCUGGUGCGCUGCACCCACUAACUCGUCAUCUAGCAUUAGGUAUAUCUCCCGAUGCUAUCCCUCCCCCCUCCCCCCACCCCACAACAGUCCCCAGAGUGUGAUAUUCCCCUUCCUGUGUCCAUGUGAUCUCAUUGUUCAAUUCCCACCUAUGAGUGAGAAUAUGCGGUGUUUGGUUUUUUGUUCUUGCGAUAGUUUACUGAGAAUGAUGAUUUCCAAUUUCUGAUCUUGGGAGUGAGAAGGUGAGUCUAGGAAACAAUGAGGCUGAGGUGGGUGGAUCACGAGGUCAGGCGACCAAGACCAUCCUGGCCAACAUGGUGAAACCAUCUCUACUAAAAAUACAAAAAUUAGCCGGGCAUGGUGGCGUGUGCCUGCAAUCCCAGCUACUCGUGGGGCUGAGGCAGGAGAAUCGCUUGAACCAGGGAGUCGGAGGCUGCAGUGAGCCUACAUGGCGCCACUGCACUCCCAGCCUGGUGACAGAGACUCCAUCUCAGGAAAAAAAAAAAAAAAAAAAAAAAAAGGUCGAAAAAUUUCUUUGCUAACCUGUUUUUUAGAGGACAUAAGACAUAAACCAUACUUAAGUCUUGUGCCAUUGCUGAGAUAAAUUUUUGCCCCUAGUUAAGAUCACAUGAGCAAUAUUAUACAAUGUUAAAGAACAUUUCUCCUGUAAGAAACUUCGAUUAGACAAGAUUUGAACUCACCCCAGUCUUUACUUUUGCCAUGUGUCAAAAAUUAGCAAGACCAAAGUAGCUUCUUUUAAAAAAUCCAAACUAAAUCAGUAAUCUUACAAAAUUUGCUUAAAUAAGCAAACCCUGCCAAAACUUUUAAAAUCACCAUUUCUGAAAUUAUACUAAAUUAAAAUUAAAAAAACUCUUCAAUUUAUACUGUCAGUAUCAAGUAUGUUACAUCUGAAAUGGCAUUAUAAUUUGUACAUCAUUACUUGACUGGAAAAGACAUGGUGUACAUUUUACAACCCUAUCACUCACCCCAACCCCAACCCAUGGUUUGCUGUAUUUCCUUCCCCCAUCCCUGCCCACAGCCCCAGUAUGUAGAUUGAUCUCUUAAAAUGGCUAAAGCCCUACCCAGUAGAUGCCCCUUAUUUUGUUCAUUUCAAUUUUCAAGUCUGAGAAAAUCGCUAUUAAGACAAUGACCUGUUCCCAGUUGGGUCACAGCACUGUGCCCCAUUCCUAUGGGCCCCCCAAAACAUUGGGAAUACAAAGUAAUAGUGGAAAAAACUGGGAACAAAUCGUUCUAUGUGUUUCCAAGUCAGCUGCAAUUUUGAGUAGUGACCUCCUUUUAAAACAUGUGCAUGGAGGGUGAGAUGGCCCGGGUGGGGCCAUUUGAUGAGAUCAAAUCAGUUACUCAUUUGAUCCAGAGCACAAAGGUUGCCCCAGCAGCAGGGAAUGGGGGACCUGCCCUCGCCCUGAGAUCCUCCCACCUCAACACUCAGGCACUUCAUGACGAGCAAAAGUAAAGCAUCUCUCCCUUUCUACCCUAUAACAUGCUUUUUAAAAGCAAAUAUUCUAUUAUGGAAAGUUGAAAACAUUCAUAAAAGUAGAGAGAAUAAGUAGUACCAUGAUCCUCCACACUCUCUUUUCAGCUUCAACACCAUUCUUUCUUCUACUCUACCACUUUCACUUUUUUUUUUUUUUGCUGGCAUAUUUUAAGGCCCUCAUUCAUUAUUUCACUUGUAAAAACUUCAGUAUAUUGCUCUAAAGCACUAAAAAAAAAAAUCACAAUACCAUUAUCACAUCCAACAUAAUUUAAAACAAUUCCUUAAUACGUCAAGUUCAGUAAAUAUUAUUCAAUUUUCCUCCAUUUCUUUGAAAAUGUCUUUUUGCAGUUGAUUUGUUCAAGUUAUAUAAUGCACCUUGUUAUCACACUAUUUCCACAUUGCCUUGUUCAGCCACGUUCUAAAUAAAAAAUCCAGUUUUCUCACCAUUAUCUGUCUAAAUCCAUUUAAGAGUCUCACCCAAACAGCAAUGGAUUAUGUAAGCAAAUACUUCAACAUCCCAGCAGCCAACACCCUUAAUUAUUUAACUGAGGCAAUGAAACACACCUUAAUGAAAAUACUGUACCAAUAUACACUACAUAUAUGUUUACAAAUAAAGUGAUUCCAAUCUCAUAUUUAUGUGCUAAGCUUUAACCAAGUGACCUGUGGUUCAAUUUUCUCUUUAAAAACAUAACAGGCCAGGCGCAGUGGCUCACGCCUGUAAUCCCAGCACUUUGGGAGGCUGAGGCGGGCGGAUCAUGAGGUCAGGAGAUCAAGACUGUCCUGGCUAACAUGGUGAAACCCCGUCUCUACUAAAAAAUACAAAAAAAAUUAGCCGAGUGUGAUGGCUGGCGCCUGUAGUCCCAGCUACUCGGGAGGCUGAGGCAGGAGAAUGGCGUGAACCCGGGAGGUGGAGCUUGCGGUGAGUCCAGAUCACACCACUGCACUCCAGCCUGGGCGACAGACAGAGACUCCGUCUCAAAAAAAAAAAAAAAAAACAAACAAAAAAGACAAGGCUGGAUCCCAAGACAUAUUUUAUAAGAAAUUUACAGAUGAAGUAAUGGUGCAAUAGGUAAAAUACUAUCAAAACAAUCAUUUCCCUGAACCACAGCACCUGAGAAAGGAUGGAAGAGUAAGUGGGUUUGGAAAUGAUGGACUUAUCACCAAACCCUUGCAAAAACAAGUUCUUGAAGAAAGACCAUCAUGGUUCACUGUCCAACCCAAAAGUGAUUUACCAGAAAACCAACAAAAACACAUCACAGUGGGCCCACUCCUAAGUCACUCUGCCCAGUGGUUUUAACGCUUCAAAGAGUCAGUAAAGAAUGAAAGUUAAUUCUAGCUCUUGCCAAAGCCUAGGUGAAAAUUUACAGUAGCACGCUCACCACCCCCUGACGAUGUAUUAGACAUGUGUCUUUCCCCCUGCAAUAUAAGCUUCUUGAAAGCAGGUCUUUCUUUCAGGAGGGGCUGAGGAAGGCACGGCUCCCUUUACAACUCCAAACAGAAAGCCCAUUUUAUUUAGUCAGACCAGCAUCUCCUUUCCAGAGCAUUUUGCCAUUGAGGAAAGGUGGGACAAUGUGCAUUUCAGGCUCAAAUACACAUUAGCAGGAAAUGGGUUCCACCAUUCACUGGAUGUGACUGUCAACCAAGCAGGUGAUAAUCCUUUAAAAGCCUCUUUUUGUUCACCAAUGUCUCCCCAGUACCUGAAAACCUGGCACAAAGUAGGUGCUCUAUUUGUUGAAUGAAUGAACUUUAUGCAGGGUGGUUGUACAGGUGUACCUAACAUCAAUAACUUAAGAAGAAUGCGUGUGUGGAGUUCCGAGCUAAGGAAUCCUAGUGGCCAACCCUGAAAUCAAUUCCUUAUCUAUGGGGAACAUCUGAACCCCCAGCCCACAAGCACUUUAAGGCUGCCAGGUGGAGGCUGUUAGGGGGAGUAUGUUAAGUAAGAAUGCUGUGUAAACUGCAUGCUUUUUCCAAGCUUUCGGGAAGCAGUUGCUGUUCUGUCCAACCCACCACCACUGGACUGUCCCAUAUGUAAAUUUCCAAUAAACCUGAUGCUAUCCCUGUUGAAGUCAACAGAGGUCUAGCAAGACAGCUGUGUUCAUCGUGGCAGCAAAAGGACAAACAACAAGGUUACAUUUACUUACUACAUUAUUUCAUCGGGCUGCUAAGUUAGAGGAAAAGAAUGACCAUCACGAGCUAGUAAAGCUUUUAAUCAGAUUAGAAUUUUAUCAGGUACAAGUGGAACCGCACAGCCCUUACUGACCAGGGCCAGGCAUAAGGCCAGGUGCUUCCCAUGUGCCAUCUUAGCAGGCAUCCCAGGCGGGCACGCAGGAUCUUGUUUACAGAUGAGGAGGCAGAGGGAGGUGAAAAAACUUGCCCAAGAUUACCCACUAGGAGGCAGGUAUGUUUACCUAUUUGCUCGUCCUUCUUCCCUCUAUUUAUCCUGCCAAUAAACAAGAAUUUAAAGUUUGCUAUAAAAUAAUAAUGCUAAACAACAAACAAACAAACUUGGGCCAGGCAUAGUGGCUCAUGGCUAUAAUGCCAACACUUUGAGAGACUGAGGCAGGAGGAUGGCUUGAGGCCAGGUGUUUGAGACCAGCCUGCACAAAACAGUGUGAAACUUCAUCUCUAUAGAAAUAAAAAUAAAAAGAUUAGUCAGGUGUGGUAGUGAGCGCCUGCGGUCCCCCAGGAGUUCAAGGCUGUGGUGAGCUAUGAUUGUACCACUGCACUCGUGCUUGAGCAACAGAGCAAGACCGCAUCUCAAAAACACAAAAACAACACCUAUCCUCUUGCUUUGCUGCCAGAAAAGACAAAAAGCACAAAUAAACAAGCACCUGACAGCGUUAUAGGUGGAGACCGAGUUCUAUGAGUGCAGUAAAGUGGGGCACGGCACAGAGAUGGAGCUGUACUUUAGACAGGGUGUUCUGAAUCAGGAAUGGACUUACAAAACAUCUGCAGUCAGAAAUUCACAUACAGACUAUAGUAGAUCAAAAGCUCAUUUUAAACUAUCAAUGAGGAAAAAAGCAAUUCAUUUACAUAACAUUCUCUUUCCAACUCAAACAUCAGGUACAAAUUGCUUUCUUUUAGCAUAUGCCAGAAAUCUGUCAUUACACAAUAGCUUAGCAAGUGUGACACAAGAUACUGCCACUUUCUCUACACAAAGACCCACCCAAACACCAGCUUUGUUUAAAACAUUACCUCAGCACCACGAUGCCUCUCCUCAGUAGUUUCUGAGUCCAUGCUCAGAGUCCAUGAUGUGCUCAACAUUGGCUAACAAAACACAUUCUGUUCUUUGAGAACAAUUUUUUAAAAACUGGAACCAAUGGGGUGGAUCUGCUUCCAAAUAUUAGUCCAGCCAUAAAAUAUAUACAAGGUUAGAAUAAAUGCUUAACAAUAAUUAUUUUUAUGCUAGAAGCAGGAGUUGGUCCAUUUGUUUCUCUAAAGAGCCAGCCAGUAAGUAUUUUAGGCUUUGAGGGUCUUACUUGGAGUCCGUUGCAUAUUGUUGUUUUUAAAAUCCUUCAAAAAUAUAAAAACCAUUUUUAGCUGGGAGACCAAAUAAAAACAGGCCACAGCCAGACUCGGCCCUAAGAUGAUAGUUUACCUACCCCAUCCUAAAGUAAAAACAAUUAUUUACAGUAUCUGAAAUGACAACUGUCCACACAGGCAGUUUAAAAUUGAUCUCUCAGGCAAAAAUGGAAAACAAAAUUAGGUUGCAGAAGUGACUUCUAACUUAAAAAUAUGAGCAAAAUCUGAUAUACUGACUACUAGAGUUUGAUCCUCAGGUGAUACUGGUUCCUCUCCUAUCAAUAAAAGGUGGGUCAUGGUGAGAUAUUUUUUAUUUUGCUUUUAAGGUUUUGUUUUCAAGUAUAUUAGAUUAAAAGGAUAACUUAAUGAAGUUUUACAUUUCCUUUGAAACAGCAUUACUGUUUGCCUGUAAGUGUUAAGAACGGGUUAAUGAAUAAAGGAAAACAGAACUGACCACUGCUGACUGGGAAGCCCACAUCCCUCCACACUUACCCAAAGGAUCUUACCAGCCGGGAGGCCCUCCCUGGUCUCCAGGGCACACUUCUCUUCUGUGAAGACCUCUAUCAUGCACUACACUGCAUUGUAAUUGCUUACAUAUCUGCUUUCACUAGGAGACUGAGAACUCCUUAAAGGCAAAACCAAUCUUAUUUUUAUUGUCCCUGCACCAAGCACAUAAUGGGAUAUAAUAGCGCUUCAAAACAUGAAGGUGGUACCCAUGUGACUGAUAAGGGAAUUCCGACUAGAACACACAGAGAGAGGAUGGACAUGAGACAAAAUCAGAGUCCUCCCUUUUACUAAGAUAACCCAAACUGUUCAUAUUGCUUUUUCCUUGAGAAGACCAAUGGACAAACUUUACCCGUUUAUAGGAACCCAGAGUUUUUACCUAACAGGGUUAAGUUUGAAAAACAUUUGCGGGGUAGGGAAACACAAAAGAAACACAUAAAGCUUACAGCAUCUUAAGAUGAGUUGUUUGGAUUUCACUGAUAAAAACUUUGUCUCCGUUUAUCUUAUGUAACAUUCUUUCCACUUAAAAACUAACUCCCAUUUUACGGCUGACGAAAUUUAGGUUCACAGAUGCUAAAUGGCUUCCCCAAAUACAGGUAAGCAGUAAAUUAGCUAUGAAAUUCUCUUUAUAGCUCUUUGUGGUUUCAUUUUGAAAAAAAUUAUGUGUAUUAACUAUAUCAAGCAUUUCAGUCAAAAGUCUCUAAGUCACAUUAUAGCACAAGGGUUUUGUUUGGUUCUGAAAACUACCCAAGUCUGGAAAAAUCUUUUUAUGUCAACAGGCAUGGAUGGUAAAUACAUCAGAAGGAAAAUAAUGCAAACUUUGGUCUUUUCAACACACAUUUACUGCUGAAAUUAAAAACUAAUUGGAGUACUUGGGGAGUCUCAAGGUAGUUACUACUGAAAUGAAAUAAGGGAUAAUUCAAAAUGCAUUCACUGACUUUGAAAGCAGACUGAAUUUCACUGCUUCAGAAUAGAGCUGAAACAUCUAACUACCAUUAGAAAGCAGGUAUAUCAAACCACCCUAAGAAUCUCCAAAUUGUCAAAGAGAUAUAAAAGUUUAAGUUAAAAAAAUUAAGAAAAAAAUUAUAGUUCACUAAAUGAUACUGUUUUCCUUUCCCAAACUAUAAUUAUUCAACAUUUGUUAGAAAUCACAUUAUCAGCCAGGCAUGGUGGCUCACACCUAUAAUCUCAACAUUUUGGAAGGCCAAGGUAGGAGGAUAGCUUGAGCUCAGGAAUUUGAGACUAGCCGCCUGGGCCACACAGUGAGAUCUUGUUUCACAAAAAAAUAAAAAAUUAGCUGGGUGUGGUAGUGUGUGCCUGUGGUCCCAGUUACCCAGGAGGCUGAGGUGGGAAGAUCACUUGAGCCAAGGGUGGGGGCCGGGGCACUGAGGCUGCAGUGAGCUGUGACUGUGCCACUGCACUCCAGCCUGGGUGACAGAGUGAGACCCUGUUUCCAAAAAAAAAAAAUUCACAUUAUUUCAUUAACAAAAGAGGCCAGUGUGGAAGGAAUAAAAGAGGAACAAGGAAUGGGAUCUCUUACUUCCCUACCAUUUAUAGGGAAGGUCUAGCCUCUUUUUUUCUCUUUGAAAACAAAGAGCCAAAAUGUGAGAGACCACUGGGCACUGCCAAAUGAAGCUGUUACUGGACUCCCUGCAGAGAGAAACUCAAGUCAGAAGAAUAUUAUGUUGAAUGGCCUGCCCAAGUAUAGGUAAGCAGUAAAUUAGCUAUGAAAUUCUUGUUUUUAUGGCUCUUUUUCACAGAGUCAUCCUAGCCCCUAUUCGAGUCCCAAAUACCAAUAACAGCACUCCUGGCAUUUCAGCCGGACUGUAAGGCGGCUGGGCAUCAAGUGACUGCUUUCACCCAAAUGGGUGCUCUGAAAUCACACUGGGCUUGAUUGGGGUGCAGGAGAAAGGAAUAUAUAAUAACUGCCCUUUUCCUAUUGAAUCAGCAGUACCAUCUGGAGAGCUUAUUUAAAACAUAAGCACCCAGCCUGCACCUCACCCUAGAGAUGGAAGUCAUUAGUUCUUCAAGGGACCCAGGAAUCAACAGUCUCCAGACAAUUGUGUACACAAAAUUUUGAGAACACUGCACUAAAUUAACCCUUCCUCUUAACUUUAGGUAUGUACGGUGUGUACAUAUACUAGGGAAAACAAAAAGCUACUGAAUUAUUUGGAUUUAAAAAUAACGUAGUUUAAGGAGUCUGGUCCUUUAAUAUUUUGGGGGGCAGUGGAUGUAGUAAUGAAAGAAGGCAAGGACUUUUUUCAUCAACGAUUGUCACAAACUUAUUAACAUGUAACAACAAAUCCAGACUCCCCACCUUCCCCCACACCUGGUCCUUCUCCAGGAUUACUUACCUCAGCGAUGGCACCACCACACAUCCACUUGCGCAAGCCAGAAACGAGAAGUCAGCCUCGACACCACCCUUGGCCCUGCAUAUCCAACCCAUCACCAGGCACUAUCAAUUCUACCUCCCAAAGAACUCUCAAAUGCAUCCACUUCUGUUCCCACCACCACCACCUUGGUCCAAGCUAUGAGCUCCCUCAAUGGUCUACCAUAACUACCCUUGCUGUCUCCUGCCUCCUGUGAUUUUCCUAUUACAGAUCACAGUCAACUUUUCAAAAGGCAAAUCUGAUCAUGUCACCUCCCAGUCAAAACCCCAAGUUAAACUAAAAAACACCCAAGAAUGGCUUACAAGGCAUGGCCUGACCUGUCUUCCUCUCUAGCCACAUUGGGCUUCAUGUGAAACCCCAAACUCACACUACUUCCUCCCACCACAGGGCCUUUGCACACGUUGUUACCUCUGCCCAGGGAGGUCACGUCCUCAAGGAUGCCUUCCUGACCUCCCCUAUUUGCACCCCCACCAGCACAUACACACUUCAUCUACUCUCAGGCCUCAUGUACCCCUCUUCAGGCAUACUCUCUGAAGCUGCAGUUUUACAUUUACUCUGGGAUUGCUGUCUGUCCCCGAAACCAGACUGUAAAUCCACUGACAGGGACUGUGUCUGUGAACAUCCAAAUACAUUCAUUGUGCCUUACAGCGUGAUCAUGGCAAAUCACUCAUCCUACCAGCACCUCUCACUGCCACAUGGCAAAAUGUUAGCUACCUAAUUCACCACUGCCCCUCGUGGAGGAGGAGGGGUGGAAACAGAUGCUACGCAUCCUCCUCAAUUGCGAGGGGAUUGUGAGGGGGGAGUACAUUCAGUAAACUGUCCCUGUUAAAAUAUUUAAUAGAAAAGGUUAUGUAUUCCCAAAGAGGCAAGGUAAUCUCAGAAAUUACCUUAAAAUUUUGGCACAGUAGAAAUGUGAACACACUUUCAGAGUUUUCCUAAUGAAAGGUAAACCUGCUUUUGUAUUAGAAAUGUCUAUAACACUUCAGAAAUGAACAGGUAAGAUGUGUUGGAGCCACUUAAAGGCAGUUCAGCUCUAUGGUUCUCAUGACAGCUUAAAGAGAUCUCAGCCCUGAACACAAUCCCCUUUUCCUUCCAGAGCUUAACUACAGCAGUGUUCCUUGCUCACUCCCCAUGCCUUCUUUCCACUGGGCAGAAGAAAGCAAGUGUGGGAGAAAGGCGCUCCGCAGUCACCCUAACAUGAAGGGGCGGGCAGAGAGGAUGCUUCCGGGACCAAUGAUCUGAGCACCAACUCCUACAACUCUCCCUAGAUGGGGCAGACCCACAAGGCCACACAGCACACCAUGUCCUGGGGACUGGCCUGAACAGAGGCCAAGGCUCCCUCUGGAACCCCAAAUCACCCUCCUUGGACGUCAGCCAGUCACACAUGAAUAGAGUCCCUAAGCAGCUGUGGGAAAAGCAAAACCAGACAACAAACCACAGCUGUUCCUCCCUGUGGAGUGCUGCCGCGUGCGCCCCCCAGCCCUCAAGCAAGAUUCAGCUGAAGUGUUACUUCUCAAUACAGUCUGCCAAUUUCCCCAUCAGAUGAUUUUCCUUUCCCCAUCAGAUUUUCCUCUCGACGUUACCUAGGCUCUUUCCCAGUCUGACAGCACUUAGCGGGUUUUCAAUUUCAGCAUUUACCCCGCAUCUUGGCCCAGGUACCAGACACUAAGCUUCCAGAGAACAAGGUCUGCCUCGCCCUCUGUGCAGGUCACUCCGCUUGCUGAUGAAUAAAGUCUUUUUUUUUUUUUUUUUGAGACAGAGUCUCACUCUGUCGCCAGGCUGGAGUGCAGUGGUGCAAUCUCAGCUCACUGCAACCUUCACCUCCCAGGUUCAAGCGAUUCUCCUGCCUCAGCCUCCCAAGUAGCUGGGACUACAGGCAUCCAUACCACGCCCGGCUAAUUUUUGUAUUUUUAGUAGAGAUGGGGUUUCACCAUGUUGACCAGGAUAGUCUUGAUCUCUUGACCUUGUGAUCCGCCCACCUCGGCCUCCCAAAGUGCUGGGAUUACUGCCAUGAGCCACUGUGUACCGCCUCAGUCUUUUAAGUAACUGUUGCUUUUGGGAAACAGUAUUAGGAGAAAACACAGGAAAUGAGUAUUUUCAGUUAUACUGUUUUAUGAAUAAAGUCAUCCACUCACUCAGUUCAGGCAAAUCAAUCAAAAAUACUUUGCCCGUUGAAUUCAAGGGUUAACAGUUGCAAUGAAUCAGGUGGAAGGCCAACUACUCAGAGGUAUCCAUCCUUUAAGUGUGUUUGCCCCUUAAUCCAGUUGUUAAACAUUAAGCCCAAGAAAACCACCUAACAUUCUUCGCUAACAUUCUUAACUUAGGCUUGAAUAAUUAGAAUCAAUAAACCUUUGUUUAAAGGACACAUCCACAGAGCUGUUGGUGGAUGUUUCAUUUUAACAUUUACUAAGGCAGCAAAAAAACCCCAAACCAAACCAAAACUAACUGGAUCCUCUCUAACAGCCUUAAGAAAUGUCAUAUUCAAAUAUGUGCAACCUACGAUGCUCUUCUCAGUGAUUUGUGGGAUGGCUCUAAUAUAAUUUACACACAGAAAGGCUUAGUGUGUUUAACUUAUCUCUAAGACCCUCCUCUGCCAAAGAGGGGGCAGGGAGAAAUUUCCCAUGGCAGACAGGUAUGGCUGACCUAAAAGGAAGCCUCUCAAAAAAGGGGUUUUGUUUGUUUUCAGACAACAUCUCACUCUGCUGCCCAGGCUGGAAUGCAGUGGCUUGAUCUUAGUUCACUGCAGCCUUGACCUCCAGGGCUCAUCAAGCAAUCCUCCCACUUCAGCCUCAGUCAGAGCGCCAGCCACCACACCCAGAUAAUUUUUCUAUUUUUUGUAGAAACAGAGUCUAUGUUGGCCAGGCAAGUCUCGAACUCCUGGGCUCAUGUGAUCUGCCUGCCUCAGCCUCCCAAAGUGCUGGGAUUACAGGCUCGUGCCUGUAAUCAGGCCACCUCGCCUGGCCUCAAAAAAAGUUUAAAAAUUUUAAUUGUAGAUAUUAUACAGAAUACAGUCUUUCAAAGAGUAACUCUGGCUCUAAUACACAAGGUGAUGGCUACUGUCUUUCCUUAACAGUUUCACAACUAUCUUCACUUUAUCAAAUGUCAGAAACAUCUUUUAAGUUCUGAUCUAUCAUAAAAGACCUCUAAAACAAAAUGAAAUGAAAACAUACCUGCCAUAAGAAAUAAGAGAGAGAAGGGAGUUCUGACAUUGCAACAUGGAUGAACCUUGAAGACAUUAUGCUACAGGAAAUGAGACUGUCACAAAAGGACAAAUGCUAUCACGAUUCCACCUGCAUGAGGUAUCUAAAGUUGUCGAAUUCAUAGAGACAGAAAGUAGAAUGGUGGUUGCCAAGGGCUGGUGGUGGGGAUGGGGAGGGAGAGUUUAAUAGGUACAGAGUUUCAAUCUGGGAAGAUAAAGUUCUGGAGAUGGACCUUGGUGAUGGCUAUGUAACAAUGUAAAUGUACUUAAUACCUUGAAAUGUAAACCUAAAAGUAAGAGGAUAAACUGUAUAUUUUACCAAAAUACAAAAAAGAAACCAUAAAAAUAAAUUACCAUUCAUUAUGAGAAAUGAGAAAGAAAAGUAGUGACGGAGAACAGGUUAACUUUUUCCUGAGUGCUAUCUUAGCUGAGCUCUGCACCUCUUCUUUUAGUGAAAUAAAGAAAACCACACCCAGAAGGGUAAUCUUCUUGACCACUCCUCCGCAUACCGUUGCACUCAGCUCUGCCUGAGUAAGGGGUUGUACUUAGGUCAGUUUCAUACCACAUGCACUGUCAAGCCUCGAUGUCACGUGUCACUUUUAAGUUUGAAUUAAAAAGAAAAAUUUUGUAUAGAAAAUACUCUGCAUCACAAAUGAAUCAUCUUGAUGUAACUUAGGCAAAAAUUAUAUUGGCUUCUGAAUCUACUGGCAUAUUAAUUCUUUAUCCUAACAGCAAAAUUAAUACCUCUAACAAAGAUCUUAGAGAACAUAAAAUGUAACAGAAGAAGCACACAAGGCCGGGUGUGGUGGCUCACGCCUGUAAUCCUAGCAUUUUGGGAGGUCGAGGUAGGCAGAUCACCUGAGGUCAGGAGUUUUAGACCAGCCUGGCCAACAUGGUGAAACCCCCUCUCUAUAAAAAUACAAAAACCAGCUGGGCAUGGUGGCACAUGCCUGUAAUCCCAACUACUCGGGAGGCUGAGGCAGGAGAUUCGCUUGAACCUGAGAGGCAGAGGUUGCAGUGAGCCGAGAUCAUGCCACUGCACUCCAGCCUGGGCCACAGAGAGAGACUCCGCUCCCCCAUCCCCCACAAAAGGCACACAAGCAUUGAUUACAGAACCAACUUGUUUGAAAAACCAAAAAAAAAUUCCAGAUGUAUCUGUAAUCCCAAUUUGUAAUGAAUCCUGAUAUUUUGUCCAUUGUGAUUCAAAACUCAAAAAAUGUUAAACCUUCCCCCUAAUGUCUAGUCACCAGUUCCCCAGUGUUAAAAGCAGGUAGAAUACAUACAACUUUCUAAGAAGCGUCAGUCCCAGAGAACCUGCCUUGUGCCUACAACCCCCAGGUCUCGCCAGCAAUCUCAACACAAUCAGAUUCAAGGAGACAGAGGCGCAGGCACAGCCCUUUCAUCAGCUGACCAGGAGUGCUCGGCCCGGCCUGCCAGGAACCUCUUAUCAAACUCCACCGGCUGCCUGCAUCUACAAUUCAAGUCCAUGGCUAACCUUCUGUUAGAGACAGAAAUUCUGCUGCAGCCAGCAAGUUUGCUGGUGUACAGGGCACCGCUUCAUGGGCCUAGUAGGAAGCGAAGCUGAAAGGCAACUUCCGAAAGCCAGUCUCCUCUCCCAAACGCCCUUUAAUAUCUCCCCAGUUGGAUCUGGGGCGCCUGUGGUUUCGGACCCUUAGGAGCUCUGAGAACUGGUGUGUGUGGUCGGAAGCCAUCUGAGUCUCCCUGUGAUUUGGACUUUUUAAGAAACUUCUAAGUUGUAUUACUAUACCCUUUAAAAACAGACGGAAGCAGUGUAAAAAGGCCUCUAGUUUUUAGAAAAGACCGUAACUACUGGGGAGGGGGCUCACAAAGAAAAAGACUGCAGAGAAAAGCAUCAAAAUGGUGUUUUCCUAACGCUCCACAAAAGGGUCAACAAGUAACAAAGAGCGGCGAAAACCUCCUCCUAUUCCUAUCGUCUUCUGCGUGUGAG